rnacentral:lncRNA from 1 species
UGGUGGAGGGAAUGGUGAAGGAGGUGGUGGAACAACUGGAGACGGAUAAGGUAAGGGUGGAGGAGGGGAUGGUGGAUGAGGUGGUGGAACGGUUGGAGAUGGAUAAGGAUAUGGUGCAAAAGGUGGUUGAGGGGAUGGGGGCGGAGGUGGUGGAGGGAAUAGUGGAACGUCUGGAGAUGGCGGAGGGGAUGGUGGAGGAGGUGGUGGAACGAUCGGAGACGGAUAAGGAAAUGGUGCAGAAGGCGGUGGAGGGGGUGGAGGGGAUGGUGGAGUAGGUGGUGGAAUGGCUGGAGACGGAUAAGGAGAUGGCUCGGAAGGUGGUGGAGGGGGCGGAGACGGAGAUGGUGCAGAAGGUGGUGGAGGGGGAGAAGUAGAUGGAGGAGGUGCAGAAGGUGGUGGAGGGGGAGAAGGGGAUGGAGGAG